rnacentral:rRNA from 1 species
GUGGGGAAUAUUGGACAAUGGGCGCAAGCCUGAUCCAGCCAUGCCGCGUGAGUGAAGAAGGCCUUAGGGUUGUAAAGCUCUUUCACCCGUGAAGAUGAUGACGGUAGCGGGAGAAGAAGCCCCGGCUAACUCCGUGCCAGCAGCCGCGGUAAUACGGAGGGGGCGAGCGUUGUUCGGAAUUACUGGGCGUAAAGGGCGCGUAGGCGGCUGCACAUGUCAGGGGUGAAAGGCCUGGGCUCAACCUAGGAAUUGCCCUUGAAACUGUGCGGCUAGAGUCCGAGAGAGGAUGGCGGAAUUCCCAGUGUAGAGGUGAAAUUCGUAGAUAUUGGGAAGAACACCGGUGGCGAAGGCGGCCAUCUGGCUCGGCACUGACGCUGAGGCGCGAAAGCGUGGGGAGCAAACAGG